rnacentral:rRNA from 1 species
AUGCAGUACUAGUCCUUGGAAGGGAUCCAGGAAAUCCUCGGGAAGAAGGUGCGCGUCGACCGCCUCGACAGCAGGACACAGGAGCGCGGACACACGAAGAAUUUUGCAUGUUGGCUCUGGACGAACGACGUCGCCCACAUCCCCACCAAGCACACGCUUGGGGUCCUGCCGCGCGGCGCGGGAUGCGUCGAGGAGAUGCAGGGCUACUUGCCACCCGACCGACGCAUUGCUCCACCGCCGGGCACCACGGACUACACCAUGGUCAUCCACGUCGACAGGGUCGAGGACUGGACCCCCCUAUCGCAGCGCUCUUUGCACUCCGCCCAAAGCGGGCUGCCGUCGUCCGACUCCGACACUGACGACCGGACCCGCUUCACCGUGAUCCCUGCCACCUGGACCAUGGAGGUCGAGGACGGGCAGAGGUGUGAUCGCCUCCAUCACCUUGGGCGCGCCCCGGUGGCCGACCUGGGCUGCCGCGGCAUGCCACGCGAUGGGCACGACCACGACAACGCUGGCGGAGCUGGCGGUGCUGGUCGCAGAUCCUGGAAGGACGCCCUGUUACGUCGGGGACGUGCACCGACCCAGCCGGCGCCGGCGCCUGCCCCGCGUCAUCGCAUCCGCUCCCCCCUAGCCAGGUGCCACCACAAGAGCAUGCACAUCCGCUGCGCGGGUGGCAGGAGGCCGUCUGUGGGAGAAGCACAUCAACACCACCGACGGCCGUCCGCCCCUCGCUCGCCAUGGUGGCGUCGGGCUCCGGUGCGGCAGAAGGCGACUGCGGCAACAAUAAAGGAAAGGAUCCGGUCGACGACUUCUUCAGACAAGCAAAGCGGCCCAUCCUAG